CACAGCAGAAUGGAGCAGCUUGCUUGGACAAGGAGAGGAGGAGGCGACGGUUGCCACGUCAGGGGAGGAGGCAGUGGCUUGCUCGAUGCGCCACAGGAACUAAUCCGGAUCUGGAGCAGGGAGGAUGGGUUGCAGGCAACGCGUACAUGGCGGUACUGUUGGGGGUGGGGUGGUACGCGGUGAGCCGAGGGAGGUGGGACGCGACGGCGAACGGGGGUGGAGAUAGAACGGCGGCUGACGGCGGGGGAGAUGGAAGGCGGACGUCGGUGGCUGUCGCAGAUUGACCCGGAGUACCGUGAAGGAGGUGAGAGACGAGUGGCGGUGGAGGUCAGAGGAAGGACGGCGAGCGGCGAUGGAUCCAUUUAUGUGGAGGAGGGCGGCGGCGGCGGCGGCGUGAGGAAGGUGGAGGAGGGCGGCGCGCGGUCAUGGAGCGGACGAGAUGGACAGAGGAGAGGAAGUGGGGAAUUGUUC
rnacentral:rRNA from 1 species